rnacentral:sRNA from 1 species
AGUGCGCCUGCGCGCUUGUGGAGCUGGUGGCGGCGCUCCGCAGGGGCUCGGCUGUUCUCCGCGCGGCGGGCGCGGCCAUGGCGCAGCCGGGGAAGCUGCUCAAGGAGCAGAAGUACGACCGGCAGCUGAGGUUGUGGGGUGAUCAUGGGCAAGAGGCUUUAGAAUCUGCUCAUGUUUGCCUAAUAAACGCAACAGCCACAGGAACUGAAAUUCUUAAAAACUUGGUACUACCAGGUAUUGGUUCGUUUACAGUUAUUGAUGGAAAUCAGGUCAGCGGAGAAGAUGCUGGAAACAAGUAUGUUCUAUUCUUUUCAAAUAUAUUCAUGUUAAGGAAGGCAAGGCCUGAAUCUUAGCUUCACCUCCUCAGUCAGGGUGACUCGACUCUCAGUGGAAAUUAUCCUUAUGUUUGGGAUUAUGGUGAGGAGGAAGUGAGAUAAUAUAGGUAAAGUGCUAGUACAGCAUCUGGCAAAUAGGGCAUUAAUAAAUGGUACCCAUCAUUACUGUCUUUAUUGUUAGUAAUAUAAAGGAGUAGUCAUUAUUCCUUUAUUCAUGGAAUAUGGGCACUUCCUAAGCUCUUGCAUUGAUUCGUAGGUGUUAGCAUAUAAUUAACAAUAAUACCUGUUUGUAAUGUCUUUUAGGCUUAGUCUAGGUGUAUCUCUCUUUACACUGUGUCUACAAAAAUGCUGUUUUAAAGAUGGCUUGUAUAUUAUUCUUUAAAGAU